CAAGUCGACGGCAGCACGGGAGCAAUCCUGGUGGCGAGUGGCGAACGGGUGAGUAAUAUAUCGUAACGUGCCCAGUCGUGGGGGAUAACGCAGCGAAAGCUGUGCUAAUACCGCAUACGAUCUCUGGAUGAAAGCGGGGGACCUGCAAGGGCCUCGCGCGAUUGGAGCGGCCGAUAUCAGAUUAGCUAGUUGGUGGGGUAAAAGCCCACCAAGGCGACGAUCUGUAGCUGGUCUGAGAGGACGACCAGCCACACUGGAACUGAGACACGGUCCAGACUCCUACGGGAGGCAGCAGUGGGGAAUUUUGGACAAUGGGCGCAAGCCUGAUCCAGCAAUGCCGCGUGCAGGAUGAAGGCCUUCGGGUUGUAAACUGCUUUUGUACGGAACGAAACGGUUCGCUUUAAUACAGUGGGCUAAUGACGGUACCGUAAGAAUAAGCACCGGCUAACUACGUGCCAGCAGCCGUGGUAAUACGUAGGGUGCGAGCGUUAAUCGGAAUUACUGGGCGUAAAGCGUGCGCAGGCGGUGAUGUAAGACAGAUGUGAAAUCCCCGGGCUCAACCUGGGACCUGCAUUUGUGACUGCAUCGCUAGAGUACGGUAGAGGGGGAUGGAAUUCCGCGUGUAGCAGUGAAAUGCGUAGAUAUGCGGAGGAACACCGAUGGCGAAGGCAAUCCCCUGGACCUGUACUGACGCUCAUGCACGAAAGCGUGGGGAGCAAACAGGAUUAGAUACCCUGGUAGUCCACGCCCUAAACGAUGUCAACUGGUUGUUGGGUCUUCACUGACUCAGUAACGAAGCUAACGCGUGAAGUUGACCGCCUGGGGGAGUACGGCCGCAAGGGUUGAAACUCAAAGGGAAUUGACGG
rnacentral:rRNA from 1 species